UACGGAGGAUGCAAGCGUUAUCCGGAAUGAUUGGGCGUAAAGCGUCCGCAGGUGGCUGUGUAAGUCUGCUGUCAAAGAGCAAAGCUCAACUUUGUAAAGGCAGUGGAAACUAUACGGCUAGAGUGCGUUCGGGGCAGAGGGAAUUCCUGGUGUAGCGGUGAAAUGCGUAGAGAUCAGGAAGAACACCGGUGGCGAAGGCGCUCUGCUAGGCCGCAACUGACACUGAGGGACGAAAGCUAGGGGAGCGAAUGGG
rnacentral:rRNA from 1 species